GGAGGGGUGGCCGAGUGGCUGAAGGCACUGGUUUGCUAAACCAGCGUGUGGGGUAAACCUGCACCGGGGGUUCGAAUCCCCCCUCCUCCG
rnacentral:tRNA from 1 species